UACGGAGGGUGCAAGCGUUACCCGGAAUCACUGGGCGUAAAGGGCGUGUAGGCGGGAUGUUAAGUCUGACUUUAAAGACCAUGGCUCAACCAUGGGAGUGGGCUGGAUACUGGCAUUCUAGACAACUGGAGAGGCGAUUGGAAUUACUGGUGUAGCGGUGGAAUGCGCAGAUAUCAGGAGGAACACCAAUAGCGAAGGCAGCUCGCUGGGACGUUACUGACACUAAGGCGCGAAAGCGUGGGGAGCGAACAGG
rnacentral:rRNA from 1 species